AUGGGAAGCCGCGCCCUUCACCGCCGCCUUGCACGCCGGAGCCACGGGAAGCCACCGCAGGUCACCGGGAGCCCGCCCCCGCUGCGCCGUUUGCUGCCUCCCCAGCCGCGGGAACCCGCCCCCACCGCGGGUCGCUGCCUCCCCAGCCACGGGAGCAUGCCCCCGCCGCGGGAGCCGUCCCGCCGCGGGUCAUCACCUCCCCAGCCACCGGAGCCGCCCCGCCGCACCCUUCACUGCCUCUUGCAGCCGCCGCCGGUCGCCACACCCAUUGCCCCGGGAGCCGCCCCACCGGAGCCACGGCCCGUCGCGCACCGGGGGAGCCCCGCCGCAGGUCGCCGCCCUUCACGGGGGGAGAGCUGGUGCCGCUGCCCUUUGCUGCAGGAGUCGUUGGCAAGUCACAGCCCAUCGCGCGCCGUGGGAGAGGCGCCCCAGGUCGCCGCCCUUCGCCACGGGAGAGCUGGAGCCGCGGAGCCACCGUCCGUCGCGCGCCGGGGGAGAGCCAGGUCUCCUCCUCUGCUGCCGCAGGUUGAGACCAUGGGCAUCGUCGAAAUCCCAAUCGGAGCCAUGCUUGAUGCCAUGUUGAAGGACCUGAACCUUCCACAACCACUGUCCACUUUUACCCAUCAGUAUCCUGAAUGA
rnacentral:rRNA from 1 species